GACGAACGCUGGCGGCGUGCUUAACACAUGCAAGUCGAACGAUGAAGCCUUUCGGGGUGGAUUAGUGGCGAACGGGUGAGUAACACGUGGGUAAUCUGCCCUGCACUCUGGGAUAAGCCCGGGAAACUGGGUCUAAUACCGGAUAUGACUUUCUUACGCAUGUAGGAAGGUGGAAAGUUCCGGCGGUGCAGGAUGAACCCGCGGCCUAUCAGCUUGUUGGUGGGGUAAUGGCCUACCAAGGCGACGACGGGUAGCCGGCCUGAGAGGGCGACCGGUCACACUGGGACUGAGACACGGCCCAGACUCCUACGGGAGGCAGCAGUGGGGAAUAUUGCACAAUGGGCGAAAGCCUGAUGCAGCGACG
rnacentral:rRNA from 1 species